rnacentral:rRNA from 1 species
GAUGAACGCUGACAGCAUGCUUAACACAUGCAAGUCGAUGGGGAAGUGGUGCUUGCACCAUGGUAACCAUGGCGGACGGGUGAGUAACGCGUAAGGAACUUACCUGCGGGACCGGGAUAACAGCAGGAAACUGCUGACAAGACCGGAUAAGGUCAUUAAGCUGCAUAGCUUAGUGAUGAAAGGAGACGCCUGCGGAGAGCCUUGCGUCCUAUUAGCUAGUUGGAGGGGUAACGGCCCACCAAGGCGAAGAUAGGUAGCCGGCCUGAGAGGGUGGACGGCCACAAGGGGACUGAGAUACGGCCCUUACUCCUACGGGAGGCAGCAGUGGGGAAUAUUGGACAAUGGGGGCAACCCUGAUCCAGCAAUUCUGUGUGCACGAAGACGGUUUUCGGAUUGUAAAGUGCUUUCAGCAGGGAAGAAGGAAGUGACGGUACCUGCAGAAGAAGCGACGGCUAAAUACGUG